rnacentral:rRNA from 1 species
UAGGGAAUAUUGGACAAUGGGUGAGAGCCUGAUCCAGCCAUGCCGCGUGCAGGAAGAAGGCGUUAUGCGUUGUAAACUGCUUUUUGCCAGGGGAUAAAAUGACCGUGCGCGGUUAAUUGAAGGUACCUGGUGAAUAAGCCACGGCUAACUACGUGCCAGCAGCCGCGGUAAUACGUAGGUGGCAAGCGUUGUCCGGAUUUAUUGGGUUUAAAGGGUGCGUAGGUGGCCCUGUAAGUCAGUGGUGAAAUAUCUCAGCUUAACUGAGAGGGUGCCAUUGAUACUGCAGGGCUUGAGUACAGAUGAGGUAGGCGGAAUUGACGGUGUAGCGGUGAAAUGCAUAGAUAUCGUCAAGAACACCGAUAGCGAAGGCGGCCACCUGGUUGGAUACUGACGCUGAGACGCGAAAGCGUGGGGAGCAAACAGGAUUAGAUACCCCUGUAGUCCCUGAGCGGGCUGGCAAGGCGCAU